AGUUGUCAAAUCAAACAAAAUCAAGGGAGAUUAGUGGUCGCUCUCCUAUACACGGAAUUCGACAAAAAUUGCCAAAAUCAUACCAACCUGUUAGUGUUAGCAAAUUGCUUGGAGCUUCUUAUCAACCUUUUGGGCACCACACCGGCUUCAAAAAAGUAGACUUUCUUAUCUUCCGAAUUUGUUUUUGAGCUUGAGCGACACACCGCGACUGACUGCCGGUAAGGCCAUCUCUGUCUCACGAAUCCAUAUGUACCCACUUACUUCCAGGUAUGUCGAUUCAACGCUGCUGCUGUCGAAAAUAAGUGAUGUUGUAAUUUUACCUUCCUCUACUAAGGUUUGGUAUUUGUAUCUCUGUGCGAUACCGCGUGUGGACCUGCAUAAGCUGACCGGGCGAGACUUGAUACCGCCUCAGUUGCUCGGUUGAUUAGGUCGUGGAUAGCGCGCGGUUUCAAGUUCGGAGUGUGAAAUUUGUGUCGCCAGUUUUUUCGGUGGAUCAAGGUUAAGUUUAAAUCCGUCGGAAGAUUGGACGGAUUAGCUCUGCAGAUCGUAGCAUCGUGGACCAUCGAGCUCUGCACCAUACUGACUUCGCCUCAGAUUUUAACUUCAUCGACUCCCAGUUCGGAUAAGUUCUGAUUUAUCUGUGAAUGUGCCAGUUGUUUUUAGUUUGAUCAGUGUUUCUGUUAUUCUACCUUUUAUUCUCUUUUGUUAUGUUAUCAUUUAAAACAUAAAUAAAUUGCUGCAAGUUACAAUUCAA